rnacentral:rRNA from 1 species
UACGGGGGGGGCAAGCGUUGUUCGGAAUUACUGGGCGUAAAGGGUGCGUAGGCGGUGCUCUAAGUCGGAUGUGAAAACUCUGGGCUCAACCCAGAGCCUGCAUCCGAAACUGGAGUGCUAGAGUUCUGGAGGGGGUAGCGGAAUUCCUGGUGUAGCGGUGAAAUGCGUAGAUAUCGGGAGGAACACCUGAGGCGAAGGCGGGCUACUGGGCCGAUACUGACGCUGAUGCGCGAAAGCCAGGGGAGCAAACGGG